rnacentral:rRNA from 1 species
UACGUAGGGUGCGAGCGUUAAUCGGAAUUACUGGGCGUAAAGUGUGCGCAGGCGGCCGCGCAAGUCGAGUGUGAAAGCCCCGGGCUUAACUUGGGAAUUGCGCUCGAAACUACGUGGCUGGAGUGUGGCAGAGGAAGGUGGAAUUCCAGGUGUAGCGGUGAAAUGCGUAGAGAUCUGGAAGGAACACCGAUGGCGAAGGCAGCCUUCUGGGCCAACACUGACGCUCAUGCACGAAAGUGUGGGGAUCAAAACAGG